rnacentral:lncRNA from 1 species
GAUGAAGAAGAUGAAGAAGAAGAUGAAGAUGAGGAACAAGAAAUCGAUGCAGAAUUAGGGUUUUCAGGGGAUUUUAAUAAGAAAAAGAAAAUUUUUACUUCUGGGGGUUCUUCUAAUAAAAAAUCCGCAUCUGCCUUCGGUGGAGCUCCUGCGGCGGCGCCACCGCCCCCGUGUCAGGCCGAUAAUUGCAAUGCCGAUCUGUCUUCUUCUAAGCGGUACCACCGCCGUCAUAAGGUCUGUGAGUUUCAUGCUAAAGCUCCCGUGGUUCCGGUGACCGGAAUCGACCAGCGGUUCUGUCAACAAUGUAGCAGGUAUUUUGGCCUCAAAAAAACCCUAAUUUUAGAUCUGUUUUCUAAAUUUCGAAGCUAACGUAAAAAAAUGUUUAGUUUAAUCUUAGCUUAUGGUUUUGUAUGUUUAAUUAAUUAAGAUUAUCUCUGGAAUUUAGAUGGUCUUAAUUAAUUAGUGCAAUUUUUUCUUCAUUUCUUUUGAUGGGAUAAUGGAAUUUUUGGUUGGUUCAUUAAAAAAUAAAUUUACUGUUUAUUCAUCAUAAGAUUUCAUUGGUGCUUAGAAAAAGUAUACUUCAACUAUGAAAUAAAUAAAUUAGAAUUUAUAGUAAUGUAAAAAAUUGUUUUAAAUGACUUUUUUUUUUUCUUAAUGAUUUUCCCAAUUUUUAAGCUUUGUUAAUAUUUUUACUAAAAUAUCAUCAACUUUUAUUAUUCAUUGACGGCUUUUUAUUCAAUUUGUUCCAUUUAUAUCAAAACUUUUCGAUAUAUAUAUUGGUUUAUAAAAAGUUCUAUAUAUCUAAUGAAAAUAUUUUUCUUUUCAAAAUAGUUUAUUACUGUGUUUAUAUUUUAAUUAAACCUUCCAAUAUAUAUUGAUAUACUUUUGUACUAGAUUUUAUGAGGUUUUUAAGGGAUUUAUUUGUCCUUUAAAAAUAGAAGGACAAUAGAAAUGGAUAGCAGAACAACAUCAAUAUUCACUAUUGAGUUGUAAAAACUAUUCAACACAGAUAAUUUAACCAAUAUUAAUUUUGCAAAAUAAUAAAUAAUAAUAAAAUCAUCAUUUGGUUGCACUGAAACCUAAAAAGAUGUGAUGAAUUCAAAAACAAGAAGAUAAUAAUGAAAGUAAAGUUAAAAGAUUUAAACCUAACUCAAUUCACAACUAGAAGAAAACAAUUCGAUUAAUUUUUGUUCGUUCUAAAAAUUUAAAAUAAAGAUGUGCGUUUGAUUUCUGAAUUUUCUGUACGCAGUCAACAAAAUUUUAUAUAAUAUAUUUGUUUAGUUUUUAAGUUUUCGAACUGUAACUCUUUUGUGAUUGAGUAUUCACUGUAGGUUUAAAAGGUCUUUUCGAAGUUUUUAUUUUCUUAUUAUAAAUAAUUAUAAGUCAGUUUGAUUUAGAAAAAUAAUUUCACGGACAAAAGAUAAUUUUAUAAAAAAAUUAGAAAUGAUUGUUAGACCUUUUAAAUAUGUUUUGAAAAAUUUAAGCGAAAAAGAUGAAAUAUACCUAUUCUCCAAGACUCUGACUCUAAAAAAUUGUCAUUCUAAAACUCGAAAUCAAAGGUAAAUAUUACUGAAAACAAGUUGGCAUUAGGCUAAAAGAUGAUGAAGACGAGUUGGACAAAAUUAUUGGUUAUUUAUGAAUUAGCUAUAAAUGCUCUCUUUUAUAUUAUAAUAAAUUUAGUUGGUACCUUUGUGUCAAAAAAAAAAAAAUGUUAGUCCUGGUUUCAUGUAAGAUCAAAUCUUUGUCAAUAUUCAUCGUUAUUACAUUAAAUUUGUUUUUAUACUUUUUGUCCAUUGUUUAGGUAAUUGAGGAAAUCUAAAAAGAAAGAGGUUAGGGGUCAACAAGUUGGCAAUUUGCCAUAUACACUAAAUCAGCCAAACGCAUUUAGUGAAGAAUUCAAGGAAGCCUAACAAUACUGAUUGAUGUCCUUGACCUAAAUAUUGAAACCCCCAUUAUUGAUUCUUAAGCCUAAGAUAAUAUAUUAGGGUUAAAUUAUGUUCUCAUCUAAAAAUAUUGGACAAUUAGUUUUUUUUGGGUUUUAAACCCAUUUUAACUUGUAGGCAUUUUAUUAAGAAAAAAAGAAGGGGAAGCUCGAGAAUUGUUGAAAGUGUGGUGAUCCUCAAAUCUAGAUAGAGAAAAUGCAUCUUUAACUUCACGAAACACCAAAAAUAUCCAUUUGUUUGAAAGGGGAAAAGGAAAGAGAGAAAAUUUGUAAGUUAGAGAAUGGUAGAGCUAGUGUGAAAGAGCUGGAAAAUUUUAAAGUAGUAUUUAAGUUAACCUAGCUCUACUCUUGUUCCCUUCAAGAAUCUGAUUACCACGAUAGCUUGAUUGGAUCCAACAUCGGGUUUUUAGACUUGAAGUUGAGUUUUGGCUAGGGGAAGUUGAGUUGAAGACAAAACUCAUACCGGAGGUCGGGGUCGACCUCAGCCCCUGACCCUUCUCGAUCCUAUGUUGGGUUCCAUUUUCUUUUUUCUUUAUUGUUAUUGAUUACAUUUAUUUGGUACAGUAUGCACUGUGACAAAUCUAAAACUACAUUAAAGAUAAUUUUACAUAACUAAACAAAGUUUUGUUUGAAGGGUGCAUUUUUAUUUUCGUAAGACUUGAAUCACAAUUUUUUUUUAUUGCAUAAUUGAGAAAGAUCAAUGGGUAUACAUAAUGUAAUUAGAGUACCAAUCUUCCAAAUUUGCAAGCAAAAUUUAUUGUGGAAUAUUAGGAUCUUAAUAUGAGCCAUUCGGCAAAUGUUAUGCUCACUUCGCCGAUUAAUUUGCUAGGGUGGAGCUUCUGGUUUAAGUUUAUAAGCACAAUGAUUUACUGUCUUCAUCUUUUUUUCAUCUUCUAACUGGUAUUGGCCAAAGCUGAUCAUGUAUAUAUAUAGUACUAGUAGUCAUCAUAAUUGAUAACUAAAUAUUCACCAUUUGUAUUCCUUCCGUGAAAUAUGCAGAUUUCAUGGCCUACAAGAGUUCGAUGAAACAAAAAGGAGUUGCCGGAAGCGGUUGGCUGGACACAACCAGCGGCGGCGGAAGAGCUCAUCAGAUCUCCAUGGCGAAAGCUCAACCUAGCAAUUAGCAGAAUGAUGAAAGAAGGGGAAUUUUACAUUAGCUCUCUUCAUGUAACUUAGGCCCUUUCCCAAUAAUAAUUUUCUAUUGUUGGCCAAUGC